ensembl:miRNA
CUCGGGAGGGGCGGGAGGGGGGUCCCCGGUGCCCGGACCUCGAGGGUGCUGGCCGUUCGGUCCGAGCCUGGGUCUCACUCUUCCGCACACUCCCUC